rnacentral:rRNA from 2 species
GAGGUUAAGCGACUAAGCGUACACGGUGGAUGCCCUGGCAGUCAGAGGCGAUGAAGGGCGUGCUAAUCUGCGAUAAGCGCCGGUAAGGUGAUAUGAACCGUUAUAACCGGCGAUACCCGAAUGGGGAAACCCAGUGUGACUCGUCACACUAUCAUUAACUGAAUCCAUAGGUUAAUGAGGCGAACCGGGGGAACUGAAACAUCUAAGUACCCCGAGGAAAAGAAAUCAACCGAGAUUCCCCCAGUAGCGGCGAGCGAACGGGGAGGAGCCCAGAGCCUGAAUCAGCAUGUGUGUUAGUGGAAGCGUCUGGAAAGGCGCGCGAUACAGGGUGAC